rnacentral:rRNA from 1 species
UGGGGUAUAUUGCACAAUGGAGGGAACUCUGAUGCAGCGACGCUGCGUGAACGAAGAAGGCUUUCGAGUCGUAAAGUUCUUUUAUAUGGGAAGAUAAUGACGGUACCAUAAGAAGAAGCCCCGGCUAACUACGUGCCAGCAGCCGCGGUAAUACGUAGGGGGCUAGCGUUGUCCGGAAUCACUGGGCGUAAAGGGUUCGCAGGCGGAAAUGCAAGUCAGGUGUAAAAGGCAGUAGCUUAACUACUGUAAGCAUUUGAAACUGCAUAUCUUGAGAAGAGUAGAGGUAAGUGGAAUUUUUAGUGUAGCGGUGAAAUGCGUAGAUAUUAAAAAGAAUACCGGUGGCGAAGGCGACUUACUGGGCUCAUUCUGACGCUGAGGAACGAAAGCGUGGGUAGCAAACAGG